CAGCGGUCAGGGAUUAUGGGAGUUGGAGUCUAGAGUAACAAGAUGGCGCUUCCUAGUUCUUUUUUGAACCUGCUCGUCCUUGUAUUGUAAAAUAUAACUGAAAAUUUUAGGCAAAAUUCCCGCGAGCUAAGAUGGCGGCGUCCGGGGCAACCUCAGCGCCAGCACCCACGAUGGCGGCCACUCCCCGCUUCUCAAAGAACAUCACUGAAGAGCCCGCCAAAGCAACAUGAGGCCUUCUUAAGUCAAGCUCAGCGCCAGCAUCCGAUAUGGCGGCGUUAGGAUUUAAGACAGGACGACGAGCUCGAGGCUAAUUUUCAGACAGGCAAUGGCAGCUUUCCACUUCCACAGAACUUUUGCCUCAGGCGAGCUUGGAAGCCACUUCACUCUAAUUUAAUUGCUAUUUAAUCGCAUUUAUUGUGUACCUUGCUGCUGCAUUAUUAACUUCCAUAGCAUUGGUUUGUUAAAUGUUUCUUGAAAUGACAACCUGUUUUGAAUGUGGUGCCUGCUGUCCUUUGCAUUUUUUCAAGGCUGGCAUGGGAAGUUUUUUUUU